GGUAAGUUGGGGCUGGCGUCGUGGGUAAGAAGGAGUGGGCAAGCGUUAAUCGGAAGUGGCGGGCGUAGAGCGUGCGUAGACGGUAGCGUAAGUCGUGUGUGAAAGCCCCGGGGUCAACCUGGGAAUUGCAGUCGAGACUGCUCUGCUAGGGUGCGGAAGAGGGAAGCGGAAUUUCCGGUGUAGCGGUGAAAUGCGUAGAUAUCGGAAGGAACACCAGUGGCGAAAGCGGCUUCCUGGUCCAGCACCGACGUUCAGGCACGAAAGCGUGGGGAGCAAACAGGAUUAGAUACCCCAGUAGUC
rnacentral:rRNA from 1 species